rnacentral:rRNA from 1 species
GACGAACGCUGGCGGCGCGCCUAACACAUGCAAGUCGAACGAGCGAGAGAGAGCUUGCUUUCUCGAGCGAGUGGCGAACGGGUGAGUAACGCGUGAGGAACCUGCCUCAAAGAGGGGGACAACAGUUGGAAACGACUGCUAAUACCGCAUAAGCCCACGGCUCGGCAUCGAGCAGAGGGAAAAGGAGCAAUCCGCUUUGAGAUGGCCUCGCGUCCGAUUAGCUAGUUGGUGAGGUAAUGGCCCACCAAGGCGACGAUCGGUAGCCGGACUGAGAGGUUGAACGGCCACAUUGGGACUGAGACACGGCCCAGACUCCUACGGGAGGCAGCAGUGGGGAAUAUUGCACAAUGGGGGGAAACCCUGAUGCAGCGACGCCGCGUGGAGGAAGAAGGUCUUCGGAUUGUAAACUCCUGUUGUUGAGGAAGAUAAUGACGGUACUCAACAAGAAAGUGACGGCUAACUACGUGCCAGCAGCCGCGGUAAAACGUAGGUCACAAGCGUUGUCCGGAAUUACUGGGUGUAAAGGGAGCGCAGGCGGGAAGACAAGUUGGAAGUGAAAUCCAUGGGCUCAACCCAUGAACUGCUUUCAAAACUGUUUUUCUUGAGUAGUGCAGAGGUAGGCGGAAUUCCCGGUGUAGCGGUGGAAUGCGUAGAUAUCGGGAGGAACACCAGUGGCGAAGGCGGCCUACUGGGCACCAACUGACGCUGAGGCUCGAAAGUGUGGGUAGCAAACAGGAUUAGAUACCCUGGUAGUCCACACUGUAAACGAUGAUUACUAGGUGUUGGAGGAUUGACCCCUUCAGUGCCGCAGUUAACACAAUAAGUAAUCCACCUGGGGAGUACGACCGCAAGGUUGAAACUCAAAGGAAUUGACGGGGGCCCGCACAAGCAGUGGAGUAUGUGGUUUAAUUCGACGCAACGCGAAGAACCUUACCAAGUCUUGACAUCCCUUGACGAUGCUGGAAACAGUAUUUCUCUUCGGAGCAAGGAGACAGGUGGUGCAUGGUUGUCGUCAGCUCGUGUCGUGAGAUGUUGGGUUAAGUCCCGCAACGAGCGCAACCCUUAUGGUCAGUUACUACGCAAGAGGACUCUGGCCAGACUGCCGUUGACAAAACGGAGGAAGGUGGGGAUGACGUCAAAUCACCAUGCCCUUUAUGACUUGGGCUACACACGUACUACAAUGGCGUUAAACAAAGAGAAGCAAGACCGCGAGGUGGAGCAAAACUCAGAAACAACGUCCCAGUUCGGACUGCAGGCUGCAACUCGCCUGCACGAAGUCGGAAUUGCUAGUAAUCGCAGAUCAGCAUGCUGCGGUGAAUACGUUCCCGGGCCU